AGACUGUUGAGGCUGUAAUCCUGCUUGAAAUGGAGAUAUUCAUUAUUGCUUUUAAGUCAGAAAAACAAAUGAAAUUUCUCAUAAUUUGGAAAGUCUUCCCAAAUUCAUCAUUAUUACCACAAUAUAAUCAGAGCACAAGUUUGCCCAGGUUGGAAUCUUGGUUCUAACAUUUACUAGCUGUGGGGUCACAGGUAAGUUAAUCAACUCCUGUUCCCUCAGUUCUCAUCAGAAUAACAGUACCUAUUUCAAAGGGUGGUGAUGAGAAUUUAAUAAAUUAAUAUACACAAAACACUUAGAAUAGUGGAAAAUAUCAAGUGCUAAAUAUACGUUAGCUAUUAUUAUUACUAUAUUAUUCUUUCAAGUUUACCCUGUAGCCAGUCUUCUGUUUUAUUGCCCUUUGAUUGAAUUGAAUGUGUGUCCCAAUUUCUCUUAAAGCUUUCCUCCAACUGUUAAUAAGUAGAGGUCAUUCUCAAAGAACACUUAUCCCAUCACUUAGGGAGAAUUUUCAGCCCUGCCCUCCUCCAGACCCCACUCAUUCUUGCUGCCUUCCCAGCUGCUGUUUCCUUGUCUAAAUUUGGUGGGUUUCUCUGUAGGGAGCAGAGGGACCCUGACAGCAUGCCCCACCCAGGGACAGGAUUCUCAACACUGCUCACCCACCCGAGUAAUCCUAGCACUGGAACAAAAGCUCCAAUAACAAGCUUUACAGCAUCAGGAAGACCUCAAAACCUGAAACCAUCAGAUGUAGGUGAGAGUCCAAGGUCUGCGACUAACUAACGAAGUAAAUGAUGUUACCCUCUCUACUGACCUCUCAGUGCUGUCUGAUAAUUAAACAAGAUAAAGUACUUAAAGAUCUUGUGAGGAAUUGAGCACACUGUUGAUAAAUGCUUGUGAGGACCGUGGAUGAUGCGACAUGAAGUCUAGUUGAUGUAACAUCAUUAAACAUGAGUUGACAUCACCACACACAACAGUAUACUCCUCCACCAGACCAAAUGCAGCAAUCAUUAACUUAUGCACGAGAGGCGAGAGUUUGUGUGUCAACACAGAGUUCAGCUGUAUGUCCUUAUUCCUCUAAGUACUUGUGACACACCGUGUCAAGAGUUCAGCGG
rnacentral:lncRNA from 1 species